rnacentral:lncRNA from 1 species
UCUGCUCUUUUUGGGCUGUUUCUGCACCUUCUGGAACCUUCUCUGAACCUUCCGGGACCUUCCAGAAAUUUCUGGGAUUUUUUGGGGAUUUUUUUCUCAGAAAUUCUGCUCUUUCUAUGCAUCUUUCAGGACCUGUCUGGGCGCUUUUUGGGCUGUUUUUCGGCUCUUUCUGCACCUUCCAGGACCUUUUCUGAACCUUCUCUGAACCUUCUGGGACCUUUCCAAAUUUUCUGGGAUUUUUUGGGAUUUUUUUCCCGGAAUUUUGGGGCUUUUUAUGUACCUUCCAGGACCUGUCUCUGCUAUUUCUGGGCUUUUUUGGGACCUUCCAGGACCUUCUCUGCACCUUCUGGAACCUUCCAGGGCCUUCCCGAAUUUCUGGCGUUUUUUGGGAAUUUUUUGGGAUUUUUUUCCCAGAAUUUUGGGGCUUUUUAUGUACCUUCCAGGACCUGUCUCUGCACCUUCUGGAACCUUCUCUGAACCUUUCUGCACCUUCCAGGACCUUUUCUGAACCUUCUCUGAACCUUCCGGAGCCUUCCCGAAUUUUCUGGGAUUUUUUGGGAAUUUUCUGGGAUUUUUUUCCUGGAAUUUUGGGGCUUUUUAUGUACCUUCCAGGACCUGUCUGGGCUCUUUUUGGGCUAUUGCUGCACCUUCCAGGACCUUUUCUGAACCUUUCUGUACCUUCUGGAACCUUUACUAGACCUUCCAGGACCUUCCGGAAUUUUCUGGGAUUUUUUGGGAAUUUUUUGGGAU